AUCAGAGCUUUUGUUAUAAGGAGUCUGCAACUCAAAAUAGGGAUUAAAAACAAAAAACUGAGACAAAAGCUUCACAAAAGUUUGCAGUGAUUUUAGAUUUCUGGUACAAAGUUUUUUCUAAUGAUUCCCUACAGUAUUCUUAAUUUAUAUGGAAUUCUUUUGACUGUUUUUUUUUACCUAGAAUAGGUUGUUUCUAAAUCCUAGUUGUUCAGCAGGUUUCACACGCCAAAUAUUCAGCCUAUUUAAGAAACUAAUUCAGAAACUACAACAACCAACCCUCUCCUGUACAAAACAGAGAAGUGCCUCCAGAGGAGGUGGAGAAAAGCUGAGGCAGACCAAGACUCUGAAGAAAAGGGUCACUCCCAAGCAGGACUGUCAAGGAGAGAACAGCUGCUGAGGAGGGCAAGGAAAAGAAAAACGACUACAAACGUGGGAACAUCGACAAGAAAGGAAAGGGGGAGAUGAUCUCCAGAACUUGACCUCAGGCUCACAACUAUUCGUGGCGUGCUCACAGAGAAGUGUGGGAAAGCAGUAAAAACUUUCACAGCAGGAUGGACGCCAAAGAAGAAAGCUUGGGCCUCCUGAAGACGAUAUGGGUGAAGCUACAGGGUCUGUCCAGUGAGAACCCAAUAGAUCUGGGAGCUUUCUUCAUCCUCUUAGCUUUCAUCUUGAUGUUCACGCUCGCGUUAGUGCUGAUCCCCGUGAGCUACUGCUGCUGCUGCUGUCGCAAAAAGAAGUAGGAGGGAGUCGGCUUUGAGGGGAACAUGGUCCACUGAAGUGGGAAGACAUCAAACACUCAAGCGCAGAGGCUCUUUCAAGGCCAAACCAUCCAUUCUUAAGAAUGCUGCUGACAUAUAUCAUACAGUAAAGGGUGUGCCCUAUUCUGAAACUGGCAACCAGUAAAACAGUGUCACGACAGGCUGCCAAACACGCCUGAUUUCUGGAAAAGCAGCAUUCCAGGGAGCAUCCCUGCCCAACAGGAACCCUUCAGUUUAGAGGAAAAGGAGGGACCGGCCGCGAGCACCAAACAGUAGUAAAGAAGAUCAAACAGGGGUACCAACGGAGAGCCGUGGAGGUUUACUACCAUCAAGUAUUCUCAAAGUUAUGCCUGAAAUGUCUGAUUUUUGAACAGAAACUUUGUGUCACAUGAUAUAAAUGUUUCCGCUUUCUUUUCACACUUUCAAAACCCUAAAUAUCCGUCUACAACUGAAGGACUUUGGAUAAAAUGUUUUAAAACAAAUUGACUGCAGCAAACAUUUACCUCUCCUGCUCACAAAACAGCACCAUGGCUUCAAAGUCAGUGAUGGCGCUUUUAUCCGACUCCUUCGCAGAGCCGCGUUUUUCCUGAGAAAAGGGGUCUUCGGUUAUAAAACAGAAAGAAUGAGAUCCUUCUAGUUGAGCUCAGUUGGUAAUCGGACCUGUCUUCGGUUGACCUCCUGUCGGAUGAGGAAGUUUAUUUGCUCCUUAUCUUUGGGAGAGUAGUAGGUGCGACAUGAGGAGGGGAGGCCGUCUCUGCCGGCGCGACCCGACUCUUGGUAGUAACUAGCCAGUGAUUUAGCCAGGUUCCAAUGAGCUACAAAUCUACAAAAAAACCACAACCACAAUAAAAAAACAUGUAGAUCUGAAUCUGACAUAGAGCGAAUCACAAAUCUUUACCUGACAUUAGCUUUAUCGACCCCCAUACCAAAGCUGAUGGUAGCAACGAUGACCAGCACCUUCCCCUGCAUCCACUCAUUCUGUGCUUCUGUGCGAUCUCCUGCUUUCAAACCUGCAAAGGUUUACCCCAAAGUGUGGGUCAUUUCUGACCCAGAGUAUACACCAGGCAGUAAAAAAAACAAAAAACAAACAAACGAGCCUACCUGCAUGAUAUGGUUUGGCCAAGACGCCAAGCUUAGUCAGCUGGUAAGCCACAGUUUCACAGCCUUCUCUGGUUCGACAGUAAACGAUCCCGCAGCCCUGUUCCCAAACACAAACAUUUAUCUACGACAGCAGCUUUCAGAAAACACAAGCGGAUGGUGUAACAGGAUAAAAAAGUGAGUAAAAAGGCUAAGACAACAGUUUAAAAUGCUUAAAAUAAAGCUCAGCCAUGUGUGUUGACACAGUAAGAAUAACCUCGCUACUCUGUGGGACUCAGAAAGAUUAGAGUUCUUUUUGUACGAACCAGAGAUUUUCAAGCUCUAAAAAUAACCAGACUCACACCAUCAAUAAUCCAAAAGUUACUAUCUGGUUUAGAUACAACCCUUUAUAAAUGUAACCACUAUAAGUUCCAGUUUACAUACAACAAAAAGUGACAGAGGUCAUGAUGGUCAUGAUGGCAACAUUCAUCAGAUCCACAAAACAUUCCUGCUUUUAUUGGGAAAAAGGUUGGAAAAUAUAGUAGAUUUAAAAAAUAAUGUUAUACAUUAUAAGUUAGUUAUAAGUUUUUUUUCUAUUCUAUUCAUAAAACUGUAAAGCUUUAAGAAGACCACAAACAGGUAAAAAAAUGACUUUUAAAGACCCACUCUGAUGAAAACUGUAUUUUCUUGUUUUUUUACAAGUUCUUGUAACCUUUUUUCCCGUAAUUGAGGACAUAUUUUGAAAAAAUUAAGCUUAAAAUAGCAAUUCUUAGUAUUUCUUUAUUUAAAUCGUUAAUCAGGAGCAUGACAAAAAAAAAAGCAGUUUGAAGACUAGCGUAUUACUGUCAUCGAAAAAAAAAGCAGGGUGGACCACUGAGACAACUACAUUGUAAUUUUGGGCUAUAUAAAUAAAACUUGAAUUGAAUUGAACUGGGAACACUUUAAAAUAGAUCAAAAGAUGAACGGAGUGGCUCUUGAAAUACAGCAGGGUGUCACGUCAAUUUUUCUAUGAAACAACAUUUUGUUAAAAUAUUGAUUUAUUUGCCAAAUUUACACUGUAAACUAAUUGCUGAAAAAUUACUUUUUUAUUACUUGUAACUUUCUCUGAUAGAAGUGGAACUUUUAUUAAUAAAACAAUAAACAGCUUUGUUAGAAA